rnacentral:rRNA from 1 species
CACGUAGGCACCAAGCGUUGUCCGGAAUCAUUGGGCGUAAAGCGCGUGUAGGCGGCCCGAUAAGUCCGCUGUGAAAGUCCAGGGCUCAACCCUGGGAUGCCGGUGGAUACUGUCGGACUAGAGUACGGAAGAGGCGAGUGGAAUUCCUGGUGUAGCGGUGAAAUGCGCAGAUAUCAGGAGGAACACCAAUUGCGAAGGCAGCUCGCUGGGACGUUACUGACGCUGAGACGCGAAAGCGUGGGGAGCAAACAGG